GGUGGCUCAGUGGUAGAGUGUUUGCCUUGCAUUCAUAAGGCCCUGGGUUCGAUCCUCAGCACCA
rnacentral:tRNA from 1 species